rnacentral:rRNA from 1 species
UUAGUUAAGAGUUUGAUCCUAGCUCAGGAUGAACGCUGGCGGCGUGGAUAAGGCAUGCAAGUCAAACGGGCUGUGUAGCAAUACAUAGUCAGUGGCAGACGAGGUAGUAGUAAAUAGGUACCAACCCUUUAGUCAGGAAUACCUCAUCGAAAGAUGAGUUAAUACUUGAUGGUCUCUUAGGAGUAAAGAUUGCUGUUUACAGCAUUUGCUAAAGGAUGGGCCUGUUCAGUAUCAGCUAGUUGGUAGGGUAAUGGCCUACCAAGGCUUAGACGCUUAGGGGACCUGAGAGGGUGACCCCCACCGAUGGAACUGAGAGACGGUCCCUACACCUACGGGUGGCUGCAGCCGAGAAUAUUCGACACUGGGCGAAAGCCUGAUCGAGCGACGCCGCGUGGUUGAUGAAGUCCUUCGGGACGUAAAAACCUUUUGCCAGGGAGAAAGUUUAUUGAUAGUACUUGGCGAAUAAGAGGUUGCUAAACUCGUGAACUGUAGGAUUAAGCUCCUACAUUCCAAACUAGCAUCAAAAAUUGGUAUUACCGUGCGCGACUUAGAGUUGAAAGACUCUUUGAAAAUUCGGCUUAUAUGCUGGAAACCUAAAGAAGGCUGCGUCUCUUAGGAGAUCUUCUCUAGGCAAUCAGCAGGGAAGUCGCUCAAUAUAAAAAUUGGGUUGACCCCUCAGAGACUGAUCUCAUAGGUGAGAAAUCACAGAUGAGUGAGAUAGAUAGAUAUAGUGCUAUCUAUAACACGCCGAACCCUCCUCAUUAGAAGAGGUGAUGAUAUAGUCCAAUCCUUAUAGUGAUAUAAGAAAAUAAAAAGGCCAGCAGCAGCGGUAAUACGAGUGCCUCAAGCGUUAUCCGGAAUCAUUGGGCGUAAAGGUUGUGUAGGUGGUUAUAUUAGUCUUCUGUUAAAUU